AUGGACCAAUCCAUCCCUUUUUCCCGUGCAUAUGCAUCAGAGUCGGAUGACGAUGGUCCCAAUGAAGAAGUUGAUGAGGAGGGGUUCACGCCGAAGGAGGCCCAAGCAUUCAAGAAGGUAUUCGGGCGGGAUCACAAGACACCAUUGUUCAAGGAUCUUAGUCUCGCGGAUGCAGCUGUUGUGGAUGGUGGCAAAUGCAUAUCUCUUGGAGCUAGGCCAAGUUCUCACCGUGAUUUGGAAGAUGGCAAGAACGAGAGAUUUCCCGGUUGUGAGUUUGAUUCUUUCUUGGAAUUGAAGAUGUGGCUCGACAACUACUCGGUUACGCAUUAUCGUCCACAUAGAGUGGCCAACUCGGACGUCAAUGUGUGUUACACGAUUAAGUGUGAAGUGCCAAGAUGUCCAUGGAUUGUGCGUGCAAGGCCAUGGUAA
rnacentral:rRNA from 1 species